AAACCCAGAGCAGACCACCGAAAACACCAACUCCUCUUUUUCUUUUCCUUUUUUCUCUUCUUAACGCGGAGCUAUUUAACUCGCGCGUGCAGCUAACAGAACUCCCAGCUCCGCGCACAUGCAGGCGCGCCCUCCCUGCUCGACUUUGAACUCAACCAAGUUCUGGUUUCUUUCGAGGAAAUCCUCGCAGCGUGGAAACGGUGGAUGAGCUCUUCCGGUGAAGGAUCAGAGGAUGGCGGGGUUCACCUGAAGAAGGGCGGGGAACCGGCGACCCGGAACGCUCGACCUCGACUGGAAGCGGCCCACCCAGUGCGCGUUUGCCCCCCCCCGCCACAUCAGCCGAGGCUUUGUCUGACGAACACCGAAAUGCACCUCUUGGUUCUCUGACUGAACCUUCAGGUCUCACAUCAGAUUAACCCAGAUUCACACACAAAGGCGCAGGUGGUCGCUGCGCAUCCGUUACACCUUUGAAGCCGAAGGGGGGAUCCUGCUGGCGUGAAAGCCUUGACAGGAGAGCAGGGCGACUACACAGGAACUACAUUAGAUUUCACUCCUGAGUCUUCACCACCUCCUCAUGUCAGAGCCCGGACGAUGCUCCGAACACACAGCGCCAGGGAUGGAGACGCUGCCAGAUGAAAUAUUUAAAUGAAAAGUGGCAGCGUGGAGGAGCACCAGAGGAGUGACAGUGUUCAGACGAGGCAAUGAAAGCACCAAAGUUCAGCCCAGAGCGACACUCACAGCACUUCACGGAAGUUUGCAGGACGUAGAAGGAAGGUGGAGACACUGACCUCAUCCUCCAGCCUCCCCCUUUCUCCUGCUCCUUCCUCCUCCUCCCCAGUGCCCGUCUGCGAUCAAAUCAUCGUACGGAGAAAUCCUGCGGAUCCGAUUCCGGCAGAAAGGUCACGCAGAGAGUCCGUAAAAUGGAUGAAGCCUAAUGAUUAGCUCAACCUUUACCUAAUCAAUAAUCAUUUAUCCAACAGUAUCCCCGGCAGCCACAGCCCCAUUCGCCAUUAACCUCUGUGGCGAGGAGAGAGGCAGUAUUGUUUCCUCUGGCAGCUUUAUGGCGCUCCGAUGAGUGGUAGGCCGGUGAGGAGCCUAAGCCCAGAUCUUGAUGGCUGCCAUCCUAUUAAGGGACUGCAGGUAUUUGAGCUUGGCGCUGUCACGUAAUCGCCCCUCCGAGUGAUUGACUGGGACACUCGGCGUGCUCUCCAAUGGGCAGGAAAGUAAAAUAAUCGAGUUUCUCUUGUGUACUUUGGAGCUAAAGGAUGUUCCUGCUUUGGAAGCCUCACAUGAACACCUUCCUUUAGCCCGCGUCACGUUUUGACACUGAACACCGGAAAUAUGGCGGAAUAUUUGGCGACACGGGUAAACGUCCCAGCCCGCGCUCCCCCUUCGCCUCCAGCGCCUGUCUCCUCGGAGUCUCUCCAUGAUGCCAUCUUCAUCAUAACCUCUCCCUUUUUAUUGCCUUUAAUGACUCCUUCUCUCUUUUCAUUAAUUCUUUAUCGAUUUUUUUCCCCGACGUCGCCUGAAUUAUUUUCCAAUUAAGGGCAAACAAAAGGAAAAUGAUUGUGUAUGGACGCCCGUGUUUGGCUGUAAUAUCUGGAGUAUCAGAAUGCAGUUUUUUUUUUGUUUUUUUGCAGGAGUGGUAAAGGUCACCGGGAGCCAACGGCUCUUCCUCUCCUCAGCCGGGCUGGUGAGCGUGCAAAAACGUACACGAGCGUGUAAAAACCGCUGCAUUCUGCACCAACAAAACGCUUUUAAUUUGACGCUUUCAGACAGUGAUGGAGGGGCUCAAUAGCAGAAAGAUUCGGCGGCAAAAUUAGCCUCAGAGGUCCAUCAGACGGUGUAGUUAAUACCCACAGGUCAUUAAUUACAACAAUUAUUCAAACUCAUAUCACAGACACGUAUUGACUUCUGUUUCUAUUUUUCUUUUUUCUUUGGGCUUCUACUUUUCUGAUGAAGCCCCUUAAGGCCUAAUAGGAAGUGUGUAUGUUAAGCAUGUGUGCGCUCCUGUGACUGGACUGGGGAAUGGAAAUGGAUUUUUCUCUGCAUUUGAAUCAUAAGCUGUUUAUUACAGUACGCAGGCGACCGUGCACAGCGGCCGUCCCUCUGUUGUCCAAUUAGAUCCCAUUACUAUGAAGCUGCGUCGGGCAAAGUGACGGCUAAUUAUGUGGGAUGUCACUCAUCAGCCUGACGCAAACACACACAGAGGUGAAGCUUCUCUGUCAGGCUGCAAGUCACAAACAUGACUUGAAUUUAAAAACACGCUCAUUUAAUAAAAAAGAGGAAGAAAUUAACAAAUGCAGGGACAAAUUUUUGGAAAAAUUUGACCAUAAACAGAAUCAAGUUUUAUCAUUUAUUGCUUUUUUAAGUUCAUUAAUCAUCUAUUGCAGAGUAGCUGGAGGGUUCUGGAGGGUUGAAUUUUAAUGGUAAUGAUAAAAAUCAGGUUUGGUAUAAAUAAGUUUCAUUUGUGCAUUUUUUUAUUUUUUAUUUUUGGUUUUAAAAUCAUCUGCA